GACGAACGCUGGCGGCGUGCUUAACACAUGCAAGUCGAACGGAAAGGCCCUGCUUUUGUGGGGUGCUCGAGUGGCGAACGGGUGAGUAACACGUGAGUAACCUGCCCUUGACUUUGGGUUAACUUCAGGUAACUGGGGCUAAUACCUGAUAGGAGCUCCUGCUGCAGGGUGGGGGUUGGAAAGUUUCGGCGGUUGGGGAUGGACUCGCGGCUUAUCAGCUUGUUGGUGGGGUAGUGGCUUACCAAGGCUUUGACGGGUAGCCGGCCUGAGAGGGUGACCGGCCACAUUGGGAGUGAGAUACGGCCCAGACUCCUACGGGAGGCAGCAGUGGGGAAUAUUGCACAAUGGGCGGAAGCCUGAUGCAGCAACGCCGCGUGCGGGAUGACGGCCUUCGGGUUGUAAACCGCUUUCGCCUGUGACGAAGCGUGAGUGACGGUAAUGGGUAAAGAAGCACCGGCUAACUACGUG
rnacentral:rRNA from 1 species